UUCAGGAGGGAAAACCCACAAAAUAGAACCGGGGUCCUAUUCCAUCAUUUCUAGCUGCGGUAUGCGGGCGGCCUGGGCCUGCUUUGAACACUCAAAUUUUUUCAAAGUAAACACUUCGGGCCCCCGGGCGCGACACCCAGCCAAGGGCAUCCCGGGGGCGGCCGAGAAGCAGGGGCUGGGACAGACGGUGGCUCGCCUCACGGCGGACCGUCAGCUCAGCCCGGUGGGCCAUCUUCGAGCUUUUUCACUGCAC